rnacentral:rRNA from 1 species
GACGUAGGGCGCGAGCGUUGUCCGGAUUUAUUGGGCGUAAAGAGCUCGUAGGCGGCUCGUUGCGUCGGCUGUGAAAACCCGCAGCUCAACUGUGGGCUUGCGGUCGAUACGGGCAUCACUGGAGUUCGGCAGGGGAGACUGGAAUUCCUGGUGUAGCGGUGAAAUGACGCAGAUAUCAGGGAGGGAAACACCCGGGUGGGCGAA